GGGGCAUGUCUAAGUAUAAGCAAUUAUACCGUGAAACUGCGAAUGGCUCAUUAAAUCAGUUAUCGUUUAUUUGAUAGUACCUUACUACUUGGAUAACCGUGGUAAUUCUAGAGCUAAUACAUGCUAAAAACCCCAACUUCGGGAGGGGUGUAUUUAUUAGAUAAAAAACCAAUGCCCUUCGGGGCUCCUUGGUGAUUCAUAAUAACUUAACGGAUCGCAUGGCCUUGCGCCGGCGACGGUUCAUUCAAAUUUCUGCCCUAUCAACUUUCGAUGGUAAGGUAUUGGCUUACCAUGGUUUCAACGGGUAACGGGGAAUUAGGGUUCGAUUCCGGAGAGGGAGCCUGAGAAACGGCUACCACAUCCAAGGAAGGCAGCAGGCGCGCAAAUUACCCAAUCCCGACACGGGGAGGUAGUGACAAUAAAUACUGAUACAGGGCUCUUUUGGGUCUUGUAAUCGGAAUGAGUACAAUUUAAACCCCUUAACGAGGAACAAUUGGAGGGCAAGUCUGGUGCCAGCAGCCGCGGUAAUUCCAGCUCCAAUAGCGUAUAUUAAAGUUGUUGCAGUUAAAAAGCUCGUAGUUGAACCUUGGGCCUGGCUGGCCGGUCCGCCUCACCGCGUGUACUGGUCCGGCCGGGCCUUUCCUUCUGGAGAUCCUCAUGCCCUUCACUGGGUGUGUUGGGGAACCAGGACUUUUACUGUGAACAAAUUAGAGUGUUCAAAGCAGGCCUUUGCUCGAAUACAUUAGCAUGGAAUAAUAGAAUAGGACGUGCGGUCCUAUUUUGUUGGUUUCUAGGACCGCCGUAAUGAUUAAUAGGGAUAGUCGGGGGCAUCAGUAUUCAAUUGUCAGAGGUGAAAUUCUUGGAUUUAUUGAAGACUAACUACUGCGAAAGCAUUUGCCAAGGAUGUUUUCAUUAAUCAGUGAACGAAAGUUAGGGGAUCGAAGACGAUCAGAUACCGUCGUAGUCUUAACCGUAAACUAUGCCGACUAGGGAUCGGGCGAUGUUUCUAUCUUGACUCGCUCGGCACCUUACGAGAAAUCAAAGUUUUGGG
rnacentral:rRNA from 1 species